rnacentral:rRNA from 1 species
AGGUGGCGGCGUGCCUAAACAUGCAAGUCGAACGCCCUUUCCCGCAAGGGGGAGGGAGUGGCGGACGGGUGCGGUAACACGUGGGUCACCUACCCCCCGGUGAGGAAUACCGCCGAGAAAUCGGCGACAAGACCGCAUAGGCUCUCUUUUCGCAAGAGAGCAAAGCUUGUGUUCGCGAGAACACAGGCGCCAGGGGAUGGGCCUGCGUCCGAUUAGCUGGUUGGUGGGGUAACGGCUCACCAAGGCUGCGAUCGGUAGCUGGUCUGAGAGGAUGAGCAGCCACACUGGGAUUGAGGACGGCCCAGACUCCUACGGGAGGCAGCAGUGAGGAAUUUUCCACAAUGGGGGCAACCCUGAUGGAGCAACGCCGCGUGCAGGAGGACGCUUUUCGGAGUGUAAACUGCUUUUCCCAGGGAAGAGAAUGGACGGUACCUGGGGAACAAGCCCCGGCUAACUACGUGCCAGCAGCCGCGGUAAUACGUAGGGGACGAGCGUUGUCCGGAGU